UACGUAGGGUGCAAGCGUUGUCCGGAUUUAUUGGGCGUAAAGAGCUCGUAGGCGGUUUGUCGCGUCGGCCGUGAAAUCUCCACGCUUAACGUGGAGCGUGCGGUCGAUACGGGCAGACUUGAGUUCGGUAGGGGAGACUGGAAUUCCUGGUGUAGCGGUGAAAUGCGCAGAUAUCAGGAGGAACACCGGUGGCGAAGGCGGGUCUCUGGGCCGAUACUGACGCUGAGACGCGAAAGCGUGGGGAGCGAACAGG
rnacentral:rRNA from 1 species